rnacentral:lncRNA from 1 species
GUUCUGAAAUGCGCAGUCCCCCACCCACACCCAAUGUUGAGCAGUGACCAACAUUUCUGCUGUGGUGGUUUUGAGAGGUAGAGAAAUAUGGCUGCACAUUUGUCUUCGUUGACUAGCGCUGUUGGAUGCUAGUGACAACUGCUGAGGUUUGAGUGUUUUGUUUUUGGACGUAGGGGAGCUGUCUGAAAGACGACCGAGGGCAUCCAGCUGGCUGUUGGAUGGCUGGAGAAACUCAUCAGGAGGCAGGUCCUUCCCCCUUCUAAAAAGCGAUCCAAGAAAGUGAGAUAUCUUCUUCUGGUGGAGGUGUUUAGGCUGAAGUAUCUGAUUUGAGGGGGGAUCUCUAAUCCA